UGUCAAAAUUUUCAUCAAUUUAUACUGUUAAAAACUGGCGUGACAGAUGAAACAACCAGACCCAUGUGAACCUCAUGUUGACGUACAGAGACCAGUUUUUAACAGUAAAAAUGGAUAAAAUUUUUAGCA
rfam:Gossypium arboreum cultivar AKA8401 contig_1079_1, whole genome shotgun sequence.